CUUCUGUCCUUCCUCGUCCUUCGAGCCGUGUUCAUUCGCCCUUGACGAAGGAGGCGUUACAACCGAAGGAGGGGAGAUCGCCGUGGACUUCGUAGCUGGCUUCACAAAGCAAGGGCUGCCU
rnacentral:SRP_RNA from 1 species